UACGUAGGGGGCAAGCGUUGUCCGGAUUUAUUGGGCGUAAAGAGCGUGUAGGCGGCUAGGUAGGUCCGUUGUGAAAACUCGAGGCUCAACCUCGAGACGCCGGUGGAAACCAUCUAGCUAGAGUCCGGAAGAGGAGAGUGGAAUUCCUGGUGUAGCGGUGAAAUGCGCAGAUAUCAGGAAGAACACCGAUGGCGAAGGCAGUGUUCUGGGCCAGUACUGACGCUGAGGAGCGAAAGCGUGGGGAGCAAACAGG
rnacentral:rRNA from 1 species